rnacentral:lncRNA from 1 species
CAAAAGUGAAAAAUAGCAAUAGACUGAGGGUAGAACACCUUUUCCUGAGGAAGGCAAGAGGGAGGAAGAUCCUGCAGGAGACCCAAGGUUCGUUCAUCCCUGUCCCUUCCUACGCCUCUGUUAAUAGCACUAGCUACCAUACAUCUAUCUUCUCCCUCCUCCCCAAUCAGGAUCACUGCCCUCAGGAGACUAUUGAUUAGAAACAGGACUGAAUUGGAAAGGACACUUUAAAGGAAAGGUACAGUUGUACUUAGCAGUGUAAUAAAAGAAAUAAAAUAAAUAUGCCAAGAGGAGGAAACUGUCCAUAAGUCAGAGUUCUCAACCUGGGAGAGGUGACCUCUAUAGGGGAGGGGGGGGUCACAUAUCAGAUAGCAUGUAUAUCUCUGUAUCUUAUAUUUAUAUUAUCAUCCAUAACAGUACCAAAAUUACAGUUAUGAAGUAGCAACAAAAUACUUUUAUGGUUAGUGGUCACCACAGCACAAGGAACUAUAUUAAGGGGUCACAACAUUAGGAAGGUUGAGAACCACUGCAAUAAAUUGUAGUGAGAAUAAGGCAUUGUGGAAUAUGGGUGAAAUUCGGGACAACCUGGUGUGCUCAUAGGCUAUCAUUAAAGAGAUAAAAGAUUUCUUUACCGUGUGUGCACACAUGUGUGUUUAUGUGAGCGGGUGAGUGUAUAUAUGUGCUGGGGAUUGAACCCACAGACUGCAUGUUAGGCAAGCUCUCCAUCAUUUACCCACAUCCCCAGAACUCACUCUACAGAUUUUUGUAAACAUGAUGGUUGCCAGAAUUAAUAGAAAUGGACCUAAAAUAUCAACUACAACAAAAAUUAACAUGUUUAUUGUGAUUAUACAAUUCAAAGGUCAAUGGUCAUUUAAUGUUUUAUAUUAAUAUGUGUUAAUAUAUAGUAAUUAAUAUAUAUGUAUAAUAAUAUAUUAAACAUCAAAUACAUACACAUACACACCCGCACACACACACAUACACACACACAUAUACACACUGGUUUUGGAAGAUAGGGAUUCUCUGUGUCACAGGCCUGACUGUCCUGGAAUUUGCUUUGUAGAGCAGCCUGGCCUCAAACUCAGAGAUCUGCUUCCUUUGCCUCCUGAGUGCUGGUUUAAAGAUGUGUGCCACCAUGCCUAGCUUAAUCAAUCAUUUUAAGUACAAAAGAAUAUUGAAAAUUAAUAUUUUAUUCAUGGAUUUUUUCUAAAAAAUUUAGGGUAAAAACCAUGAAUUACAGAUGAGUUACUCAUAACAUCAUUUUCCUAGGGAGAAAAAUGAAUAGAUUUAAUGUUAAUUAUUCACCAUCAUAAAUGGACAAUAUUCUACACAUCCUCACUUUACUAUAAAACCAUCUAUUUAAUUUCCAAGAAAAUAUUGUAUUAGCAGCGAACAUGGAAGUCGUAGUUUCAGCUUAUGUUUUGGGUAUUCUAGGUAUUAAAUUCAUGAUCCAAUCUGUACUAUGAAAUCAAAGUAAGGAAAAACCAUUCCGAAGAUAGACGUGUAGCAUAGAUUUGGAUGGAUACAAUGUUGGCCCUCUGUUACUAUCAAUUCAUGACAGAUGCUUAGAAAUGAAAGCUAAUGUUUCCCACCACUAGCAAGUGGUCUGGUAACUCAUGAUAAUUAUAGUAUGGUCAAAGAUUAUUCAGAAGGAAAGAAUCCUGCAAGAGCAUUCAUGAGCCAUGUUUCAUUGACACAGAAUGCCACCAUUCUUUAUGGUUACUCACCUUUGGUGUCAAAGUGUAAUAAUAGACAAGAUAAUUGGAGAAAAGGUUACAAUUAUAUUGCUGAAUCAAGAACUUAUGCUUGUAAAAGAGACAUUUUUAGCUUUAUUUCAUUCUAUAUAAGCUCUAAGUUCUAAAAUGAUUAAUUUAAAAUUCAUAGAUUAUAUCAAUACAAAUAUGUAUAUUUAUUCAUUCAUCAAAUUUCUGUUAUUGGGAAGAUGAAUUAUUUCAUAAAUAUAUCUACAGUUGUUAAAAAGGACUGAGGAUUUUAUUUACUGUAUGUAAAUACUAUGAAAUCACCAAAUGUCCCAGGUAACAGAUAUUAAAUGAAGACAUGACACUUCAGCUAAUGAAGUAAAGCCAUUUAUCUUUAAACAUUCAUGCUACAGAAAGAGAAACCUUUAAAAUGUGGCCUCAAGUUUGCAAAAAUCAGCAACUUUAAUCUAUCCACUUUCUUCUGACCUUUACACUCAACCUCAAAAAAAUUCUCAGCAACAUAAAUUCGAUCUCCAAAGGCUGCUGCAGAUCUCAUUUUCUGCUGUUUUUCCAUUAGGUAUUUAUGGGACUUGCCAGUGUUACAGGGGACUAGUAAAACACCACAGUAUCCUGCAGUUCCUGUGUAUGAAUUCAGCUUUUCCCUCUGAGAUGCUAACUUCCCCCCAUUGCCAGGGCCUUUUCAGACCCUAGUAGAAAACUAAGACCAAAGGUGUCAUGUUCUUUUGCUAGAGGUAUGCUGGGGAGUUAGGGACUGUGAGCAGGGAGAAAGAAAAUGAACUGUACUUGGCUGUUUAAGAAUUGAAACAAAAUAAUUUUUUAAGCCAUUAAGGUAGCUUGUUACACGUUUGCACUAAUUGAAACCACAGAAUGCGUUUAUAUGAGGUAGAAAAGGAACCCGGAGAGUUUUAAAGUUUGAGGGUCUCAGCUGUGUGCAUACCUCCUCUCAACGGCACAGGAAACCAGCUGCUUCCAUUUAGGACUGUAUUGAACACAUGUGCUCCCGUAUACCCAUGACAUAACGCGGAACACUACACUUUCAGACAGGCUUGCCAAGUGGGGGGAGGAGACACAAAUAUGUUAGUGGGACAGAAAACAUUAUAGAUGUUUUUGUAAAACGCUAAGAAAAGAACCUUGUUUCCACUGGUGUGCUCCAUAAUCCAUUAUUUAGUAGAUGAAUAAGAAAAUGAGUGAACUUGAAACCAACUUAUUCAUUAUAAGUGCGGCUUAAUUUUAAAUCUAAAUUAAGUCUGGGACAAAAAACCCACAUCUUUAAAUUAGUCAAUAAUGCCUAUAUCUUAUCCAUUACAAGGAAAAUGGGAAAAAGACUAGCUCCGGGACACUAGACUAUGAGAACAAAUUUUCCCACAAUUUAUGUAAAACCAGGCCAAAUUAUUCCCAUUCGCCCCUUCUCUAAGUUAAUGGAGGCUUCAUCCUUCACUCUGCUCCCUUCUCUCAUGAGCUACUUCCAAUCCAGUAGUCAGCUUACUGCACGUAUCUGUAAGAGAUCCCCAGAACCUGGCUGCUCCUCCCUGCAACCACUGCCAUCUCUCAGUCCAUCAGACCCUCUUUUGGGCCAUCGUAAUAGCCUCCAAGUUCAUUCCCUACUACUAACCUGUGCUGUACUCAGUUGGCUGUCCACAUACAAAGGGAAAACCCCUCUUAAUGGUUCUUAAAUGUCGCUGGGAGACACACCUACAAACAGAGCCUUUCAAUGGUCUAUAAAGUAUCAACAUUUCCCCUAACCUUUUGUGUCUCUGAUUACACUUACACCUUCCCACUGCUCAUUCUGCACGAGCCACAUUAACUAACCUCCAUGUUGUUUUUGAACAUGUUCCCAAGCUCAUGGCACAUUGGCUGCAUGCUAUUUCUUCAUGUCUAGAUAGUUGUUCUUCCUAAUAUGUACAUGACUUAUUCCUUUAAAUUUCAAUUUAGGCACCACCUUCUUGAAAUAUAUUUUUCUAUCUGAAACUGAAACAUUCUUUCUCUAGGCCUGAGAAUGUUUUAACCCCACGUUUCUGCUUAAUUUGUCUCUAUAGUUCCUACAACUAUCUAGUACAGUAUGUACUUUUAAGGCAAUAUUUCUGAAAAAAAAAAAAACCUUGAAGAUGAUGUUUUCUAUUUGUUUUUGUUAGGAGAAUAUUUUUAGUAGCUAAUGAAGCUACAACAUAUAGUAACUCAAUUACCUAUAUGACAUAUUUAACUUCAAGCACACUUUAAAGGUAAGGAGAUGGAUGACACCUUACCUGUGUAGUGAGUGAAGAUACGACUAAAUCUUUGUGCUGUGGUCUUUUAUGGCAUGAGAACAACAAGCAUACAGUAAGCUAAUCCACUGUCUUCUUAUCCAACAUUAAUUAUAGACUCUUAAUAAACCACACAGAGCCCCGAGUCCGGCCCAACCGUAUGGAAGAAAACAAAGCAAACUGGAUGCCUGCCAACAAACACCACACAGAUUUGUGUUUGGUCCUCACAACUUCUAGGAAAAAGGGAGCAGCAGUAGAGACACUCAGCCCUAACAGACUGGUCAAUGGCAGGAAGAGUUCAGCAUUAAAAAAACAAAACCGAAAACAUACUCAAAGAUAAAAUAACCGCUUAGAAAUUUCUCUAGACUUUUACUUUUCGGUGUCAACCGAAUAAACUUGGCAUCACUCGUUCAGAAUUCCAGAAGAGGAUACUGAGAUCUGCACAAAUCCACAAAUCCCUGACUCACAGUGAAGUUCUAAGCAUUAUCCAAGAGCCACCUUUCUCCUAUAUGUAUACUUAAUCAAUAUCCUGUCUUUCCUAUAGCUGAUUCUCCUCAUUCACAGAAAUUCAUGUCUGCAGGGGGAGCUGAAUGUGUGAUAAGCUACAGACCCCAACGAAACCACGGUCACAUCUGAUACCAGACAGCUACCUGAACCUACAGCCCGAGACCAGGGCAAUCUGAGCUGAAAUGUGAAUGCUGAUUGUGUGAUUGACACAGGCUGGCUCAUUCCGUUCUUCCUCAAAUUGAACGAGUUCACUGUGACUAAACUGUUAGACUCUGAUGCAAAAAUAUCUAGAUUAAAAAAAUUAAAUAGGAAAUGUUAAUUACGUAUUCAAUCAUUUCCAGAAACAUCAGUAUUAAGUUUUAUAAGAAAAUCUGAUCAUGAAUGAAACUGGUUUCCUUUCUUUCCCUCUUCCUCUAUAGACUGAUUUAUAGGAGUUUAAAGGAGUAGUUAGGAAACACUGUCAAGGCCAGUUUUAGCUCUCCUGGGAGGAUGGGGAUAAAAUAAUUUUUUUCCUAUACCAUUUCUUAAUUUCUUCCGACUACUAAGUGUUUCUAUAUUCUGUACACUAGGUCAACAGCUUACAGGCUCUUGUACUUAAAACACUCUACUAAUGACAUUGAUCCACAGCAGUGCACUGUAUUUGCUGUUGCUGAGGACUUUAUGCUCUGGUAUAAAAAACAAAACAACAAACAAAAAAGGAAAUACAAAAAAGGGAUUAGACCAUUCACAAAACCUGCAAGGAAUUUGUGUAAGAUUUAAAACAGACAUACGCUUUUAAAGUCAAGAACUUUCAAAUGCAACAGAUAAUCCACAUAAUAAUUCAACAACCAACACAGACUCCAAGUCCUAACAGAGACCAUAUGUAACCUGUAAUAAAACCUGAGUUAAGAUAUUUCAGGCAACAGUGUAAUUUCAUUUUCCAUUUUAAAUACCCAUUUAUUUUUAGUUAACAGGCUAUAAUACAGCACAUGAAAAAGCUGUCAUUGUAUAAUAAAACUCUAGUAUAGAUAAGAUAUUUUACUAUUUGUUAGAUUUGGGGAGUAGCAUUGCGAAAUGGUCUUUCGAAGUUUUCAGUGUUUUUAUAUAUUGCAUAUGCACGCUGAGGUCACUAUUAAUUGUAUGGUCUGGUAUCCAUUAAAAGAAAUCCACUUCAGGAAGCAGAUGGAACAGCAGGAGAGAUAUCCUUAGCCCAUGAAACAUAAAAAUUCUGAACAAUCGGUUAUACCGAAUACCUACUAUGGGUAAAGCUACCAUAAAGGGAAUACAUGUAAGCUGUUCAUGGGAAAUAAAAACUGAGCUAGUGUCACAAAAGGGAAAGGACAGAUAUCUAAAAUAUCCCACAUUCGAGCCACAGUGAGUGAAUUAACUGAAAUGUAAUUAAUACUGUCAGAGCUUUCUCCUGACAAGAAUAAUCAAAGGCUUUGUUCUGACCAUUCACCCAUGGGCUAUGGAAGCCAUAUGACCAGGAAGGGAAGAGGGUUAAACAGUAUCUAUGAGUAGAUAAAAACAGAUACUAAAUGGUACAGAAAGAAAUAUGCUCAUUAAAAAAAAUUUUUUUUUGGCUAUUAUUUUUGAGACAAAGGAACAAGCAUCAAGCAGCUGAACCUGGAGAAACUGGGGACUUAAAUGGUACCAUGAAAGGAAAUGUCAUUUUCUAUUUCCGGUUUCUCAAGUGUCUAGUUGUUUUACUCUAAGGAGUUACUCUUAAGUACGCCUUAAACACAGAACUGUCCUAUAAAUUUAAAGACAGAAAAUUGGCACGCCUCGGCAAUAGUAUUUCAGUAUUACAAUAGUGUCUUUUAUUAGAAACCCAGUACUUCACAUUCAUUCAUCUGCUAGACAGAACUUCCUGGCUAACAGUCCAUUGUGAUGACAUAAUUUCUGACAAAGACAUUCUCAGUAAGAAGGAGAUUACCAGGACGAAUCAUUACAGUUCUCCUUUAAAUAUUUUCUCAAGCUGUUUGUAAUUCAUGGAAAGGAACAUUUUAUUAGCAUGUCCAUGUCGGGUCCUGUCAUCUCAGAGUAUCGAAAAGGAAAAGGAGAAAUAAGAACUUUAGAAAUUCCAUAUUUGUUAGGGACAAUUCUCCUUUGUCUCUGUACAGUACUUAAAUGGUACCCAGUAAGCGGCAAGGUAAAAUCUGGCAGAGACAUUAAACCACUUGUCCUGAACAUAAGACUUAACUACAUUUUCAGAACUCAGUGCCCUCAAUCAGAAUCUCCCCACAAGCAGCACUCUAAAACUAGCCAAUACCCGAAACACUCUAAGUAUUCUGUAUGUUCUAGCCUUUUAAAGCAACUAUAUUAUUUAUAUGUCUGGAUAGGAAAAAAAGUAAAAGCACAUAGCCGGUUGACCUAUCAAUGUGUGAAAUUUCACAAAUGGAGAAUAGCAAACUUUUAAGCACAACCAAUAAAACAAUUUCCACCCAGCACACGAGAGUACAGGGAAGGGUCUGUGGGUCUCUGUGUGCACAUAGCUUGCACAUAGUGCACAUAGCUUAUCCAGAGAUCUUUUGGUAUACAAAAGAUUUGUAUAUUUUCUUAUAGAAAACUUGGACAUGCUGGUUGGAACGAGCUCCAGGGCAGGUGCUCUUGCAGGUUUUCCUUUGGCGCAGAGGAGCAGUUAAAGAGAGACAGAAAAAAAACCUGCAAGUCUGAGUCCCUAAUGGCAAAUUUGAAAAUAAAAUAGAGUGGCAUCAGGUUAAGAAAGGGGUUUAACAUGUCAAAAAUAUUCUUAGUGGAAGUUUUAAAAGGUGAUGGUACAGGAGUAGGAGCAAGAAGGUGGCUGUGAAAGGACCUUUUCUCUUCAAGUCACCAGAGGUAAAUAACAGCAAAGGUGGGUGAGGCAAUUCACAAGGAGGGAAAAAAGGCUCAGCUCACCUGAAAAUGGUCGUCCCUCACAUGAGAGAGUUGAUUCUUCUAAUAUUUCCCAAACUGUGCCUACUUCAAUAAUGGUUUUGUCUCAGGGUGAAGAAAAGAGACAUGUUCAAUUUGGUCUCUCCUUGUAUUUCCCAACUGUCUGGAAAUAAAACUUUUUGACAUAGAAUAUAACUUAGGGCAAAACAAAAAAAAUCACUUCUCACUAUAUGUUAAGGAGGGAAAGGAAGAGGGAGUAUUCCAACACAACUAUUUUGAUUAUUAUUUCCUGUCUGCUUGUUUCUGAAGACAGAGCCUCAUUUAUCACAUGGCAGACCAGAGCCUACUAAGUGGUUGUGGAUGACCCCACAUUUCAGAACCUAAGACAUAGAUCAGAUUUCUUGCCUCAGUUUCCCUUUGGCAUAAGCCCUUCUUUACAGACUGUUUCCACGAGGGCCCUGCCCUGCACCUUCUGACUCUU